rnacentral:lncRNA from 1 species
AGAGAUAUUCUAAUGUUCCAGUGACUUCAAUGAAGUUUUCUUUUUUUUAGACAGGACAUCAGAACAUCAACAACAUGACUGAAAUAUGAAAUCCUGAUGACCAGACUCAUAUCAAUCCUAAUGCUGCUGACAGUUUUGUGGAAGAGAUCUUCAGGGAGGACAUGGAAAACAAAGCUCUGACUGGAAAUGAUGAUUCAUCUUCAUGAAGCAAAUCUAACAAUGAAACAGUGCAAUUAAAGCAGUCCAGAGCACUUGGUUAGCAAUGAACCAGGACACUGAAACCACCUCCCAGAGCGAUGCCGCAGGUCACACGUGCUUGUGUUAUGCACUGACAUUUAAGACAUACAAAGAAAAAUGGCCUCAGGGGAACCACCUCCAAUGCAUCACAGAAGCUUUGUUCAAACAGUUUUCGAUUACUCACUCUAACCACACAUUGGCUGAAGUGGUUUAGAUAAUCUGCUGUACAGGAACGGAUUGGUGGGGAGGAUCACCAGACAGCUUUGCACCAACCCACGUCAUUCCUGGAUGACCUCCAAGGGCAGGAAGCAAACACAACAACUGCUGAG